rnacentral:tRNA from 1 species
GAGGGUAUAGCUCAAUGGUAGAGUACAUGCUUAGCAUGCAUCAGGGCCUGGGUUCCGUCCCCAGUACUUCCA